GAGUUUGAUCCUGGCUCAGAACGAACGCUGGCGGCGUGCUUAACACAUGCAAGUCAGGGAGAAAGUCUCUUCGGGGAUGAUUAAACCGGCGCACGGGUGAGUAACACGUGAGUGACCUGCCUUUUAGACUGGAACAACUUACCGAAAGGUGAGCUAAUGCCGGAUGAGUUAUAUAAGUGCAUGUUUAUAUAGGAAAAGUUGGGGAGACCUGACGCUGAAAGAUGGACUCGCGUCCCAUUAGCUAGUUGGGAGGGUAAUGGCCUACCAAGGCGACGAUGGGUAGCCGGCCUGAGAGGGUGGCCGGCCACACUGGGACUGAGACACGGCCCAGACUCCUACGGGAGGCAGCAGUGGGGAAUUUUGCGCAAUGCUCGUAAGAGUGACGCAGCGACGCCGCGUGAAUGACGAAGGCCUUCGGGUCGUAAAGUUCUUUCGACAGGGAAGAAAAUGCCUAUAAGUAACUGUGUAUGUAUUGACGGUACCUGUAUAAGCAGCCCCGGCUAACUCCGUGCCAGCAGCCGCGGUAAUACGGAGGGGGCGAGCGUUGUUCGAAGUGACUGGGCGUAAAGAGCACGUAGGCGGUGUUGUAAGUCAUUAGUCAAAGACUAGAGCUCAACUUUAGUAAGGCUAGUGAUACUAUAAUACUAG
rnacentral:rRNA from 1 species